rnacentral:rRNA from 1 species
CCUACGGGCGGCUGCAGUAGGGAAUCUUCCACAAUGGGCGAAAGCCUGAUGGAGCAACGCCGCGUGGGUGAAGAAGGUCUUCGGAUCGUAAAACUCUGUUGUUAGAGAAGAAAGAGCGUGAGAGUAACUGUUCACGUUUCGACGGUAUCUAACCAGAAAGCCACGGCUAACUACGUGCCAGAAGCCGCGGUAAUACGUAGGUGGCAAGCGUUAUCCGGAUUGAUUGGGCUUAAAGGGAACGCAGGCGGUCUUUUAAGUCUGAUGUGAAAGCCUUCGGCUUAACCGGAGUAGUGCAUUGGAAACUGGGGGCCUUGAGUGCAGAAGAGGAGAGUGGAACUCAAUGUGGAGCGGUGAAAUGCGUAGAUAUAUGGAAGAACACCAGUGGCGAAAGCGACUGUCUGGUCUGUAACUGACGCUGAGGUUCGAAAGCGUGGGUAGCAAACAGGAUUAGAUACCCGGGUAGUC